AUACGUAGGUGGCCAGCGUUAUCCGGAUUUACUGGGUGUAAAGGGCGCGUAGGCGGGGGUGCAAGUCAGAUGUGAAAUCUAUGGGCUUAACUCAUAAACUGCAUUUGAAACUGUAUCUCUUGAGUGCUGGAGAGGUAGACGGAAUUCCUUGUGUAGCGGUGAAAUGCGUAGAUAUAAGGAAGAACACCAGUGGCGAAGGCGGUCUACUGGACAGUAACUGACGCUGAGGCGCGAAAGCGUGGGGAGCAAACAGGAUUAGAUACCCUGGUAGUCCACGCUGUAAACGAUGAAUACUAGGUGUGGGGGGACUGACCCCCUCCGUGCCGCAGUUAACACAAUAAGUAUUCCACCUGGGGAGUACGGCCGCAAGGUUGAAACUCAAAUGAAUUGACGGGG
rnacentral:rRNA from 1 species